GACGAACGCUGGCGGCGUGCUUAACACAUGCAAGUCGAACGAUGAAGCCGGAGCUUGCUCUGGUGAAUUAGUGGCGAACGGGUGAGUAACACGUGAGUAACCUGCCCUUGACUCUGGGAUAACUGCGGGAAACUGUAGCUAAUACCGGAUACGACCCUCGGAGGCAUCUCCUGGGGGUGGAAAGAAUUUCGGUCAAGGAUGGACUCGCGGCAGAUCAGCUAAUUGGUGAGGUAAGGGCACACCAAGGACACGACGGGUAGCCGGCCUGAGAGGGAGACCGGACACACUGGGACUGAGACACGGCCCAGACUCCUACGGGAGGCAGCAGUGGGGAGUGUUGGCCAAUGGGCGCAAGCAUGAUGCAGCAACGCCGCGUGAGGGAUGACGGCCUUCGGGUUGUAAACCUCUUUUAGCAGGGAAGAAGCGAAAGUGACGGUACCUGCAGAAAAAGCACCGGCUAACUACGUGCCAGCCGCCGCAGUAA
rnacentral:rRNA from 1 species